rnacentral:rRNA from 1 species
AACGAACGCUGGCGGCAGGCUUAACACAUGCAAGUCGAACGCCCCGCAAGGGGAGUGGCAGACGGGUGAGUAACACGUGGGAAUCUACCUAGUUCUACGGAACAACUGAGGGAAACUUCAGCUAAUACCGUAUAUGCCCUACGGGGGAAAGAUUUAUCGGAAUUAGAUGAGCCCGCGUAAGAUUAGCUAGUUGGUGGGGUAAUGGCCUACCAAGGCGACGACCUUUAGCUGGUCUGAGAGGAUGAGCAGCCACGCUGGGACUGUGACACGGCCCAGAGUGCUACGAGAGGGAGCAGUGGGGAGUAUUGGACAAUGUGCGAAAGCCUGGGCCAGCCGUGGCGCGUGAGUGAUGAAGGCCCUAGGGUUGUAAAGCCCUUUCAGUGGGGACGAUAGUGACGGUACCCACAGAAGAAGCCCCGGCUAACAUCGUGCAAGCCGCCGCCGUAAAAC